rnacentral:rRNA from 1 species
ACUCAAAUGAAUUGACGGGGGCCCGCACAAGCGGUGGAACAUGUGGUUUAAUUCGAUGCAACGCGAAGAACCUUACCUACCCUUGACAUGCUAGGAAGUCUGCAGAGAUGCGGAUGUGCCUUCGGGAACCUAGACACAGGUGCUGCAUGGCUGUCGUCAGCUCGUGUCGUGAGAUGUUGGGUUAAGUCCCGUAACGAGCGCAACCCUUAUCCUUAGUUACCAGCACGUAAUGGUGGGAACUCUAAGGAGACUGCCGGUGACAAACCGGAGGAAGGUGGGGAUGACGUCAAGUCCUCAUGGCCCUUAUGGGUAGGGCUACACACGUGUUACAAUGGCCGAUACAGAGGGUUGCCAACCCGCGAGGGGGAGCUAAUCCCAUAAAAUCGGUCUCAGUCCGGAUUGAGGUCUGCAACUCGACCCCAUGAAGUUGGAAUCGCUAGUAAUCGCGGAUCAGAACGCCGCGGUGAAUACGUUCCCGGGCCUUGCACACACCGCCCGU